UCAAGAACAUUGUUUAGGCGACACUCAAAAGAUGAACUCUUCUCCAGGCUUAGUGACUGUGAUACUCUUACUACUUGGAAGAACCCAUGGAGACUCAGUAACCCAGACGGAAGGCCAAGUGACCCUCUCAGAAAAGGCUUUCCUGCAUAUAAACUGCACUUACACAGCCAGAGGGUACCCUUUCCUUUUCUGGUAUGUCCAAUAUCCAGGCGAAGGUCCACAGCUCCUCCUGAAAGCCGCGACAGCCAAUGAUAAAGGAAUGAACAAAGGUUUUGAAGCCACAUACAAGAAAGAAACCACCUCCUUCCACUUGGAGAAAGCCUCCGUCCACGAGUCAGAUUCAGCUGUGUACUACUGUGCUAUGAGUGACACAGUGACAGGAACCACUGGGGGAGCUGAGCACAAACUCCAAGCAGCACCUGGGGCCUGGCUGCUGAGUGUCUGCCUCUGUGAUCCAAUCUGGUUUCAGCAGGGCUUGUGGCUGUUUGCCCCUCAGUUUUUCUAG